rnacentral:lncRNA from 1 species
CUGUCCUUCGAGGGUCAUCGAUCAUCAAGACAAUACUCGACGAGUCUCAAAUCCACCAGUGACACCUAACAGUAUGUAAUAAUAACUCAGUAGAAUGAAAGUAUUGAACUUCUAGAUGCAGUUACCGUAUGAUUCAAUCCUUCUAUCAUGAGUUCUGACUCAACGGAGGUCAUAGAGUACUCGUCAAAUCCCAACAUCAGUUAUAUUUCAGAUUGGCUCGAUUCGAAUUUAUUCAUGAAUCUUAUAGAAAUUUCUUUUCAGUAUUCACACUCAC